UGAUCAUUUUGAGUUUGGGGAUACAGGGAAGGUUUCAGGGAGGGGCUGAAAUAGCUACACUUUCAGCAAGAGAAGGGUGCGGGGAAUUUGGGAACGAUAGGAGCAAAGGCAAGACAGUGGUGGGAAGGGCAGCUAUGUUCCAGCACCAGUGGGUAAACCUGGGCAGAGGUCGUUGCGUGUGGUUUCGAGAGCAGUAAGACGGAAGGUCUGAUUCCGGUUAGAUGAUGUGCAGCCUUGAAUGGCAGAACCUUUCAACACUUCAUGUGCUAGAAACUAAGACUGGAGUUAGUACAGUGAAUACAAGUAAGUGUGAAGCAAAGAGUAGACAGGUGGGGACCAUUCCUCUCUACAAGUCCAAAACCACACUCUCCACCUCCUCCCAGUGCUGCUCCUGCUCCUGGCUCUCCUGUUUGGGUGUGUGAUGCCCCAUCUUCCCAGGCUGUCCACCAUCUCCAGCCGUUACAUCUCUACCCAGUAAUGGUCAUAGCGGUCCUUGAGUCAUUGUGACAAUCGAGAAUACUCCACUCCACAUCAUUCCGUAUUGAGAACCAUAGUUCCCAGCCAAUGCUGAUGCUCCCAUCCCCCUUCCUGUGAUGAAACACAAGGGGAAUUCUACUGGAGGCCUUUGGCACAAGGUGUUUCUACCUGAUAAAAAGAGACACUGGUGCAUAAACAUUACCUUUCUCUGCCCGUGGUUGUUAUAUGAGGAUAUGACGUCUGGGAGACUGCAACAUUCUUGCUCUCUUCAGGAGAGCCAGCCUGAGGAAGAGGCCAGGACAUGGAGCAGGGAAGAGCAGAAAGGUGGAAAGAGAAAGCUAUUCCUGCCACAGCUUCAGAUGUCCAACAAUAUCAACAGAAAAGAUAAAAAUAUCACAAAACUUCUUCCUCCCAGCAUCCAAAUUUCAGUGGAUUUUCUCUGCUUGAGCCUCACGCAUCCUUCUUAUUCCUAUCCUUGAUGCUGAGGGCUGGGGCCAGGAAUCUUGAUUGACAACUCCCCAGAAACACCUGGAAGAAGACAGAGCAAUUUCCUCAAAGAUCUAAGAGGAUUGAACAAAAAUCUGUAUACAUCAUCUAAUUAAAUAAAACUAAUUACACUUUAUCUUGGUUGAUGUAAUUUAUUGUCAGCAUGAAUUGCUUCAGCCAUUUUUCCGCAACCCAUAAGAUUUGAGCUUGAUGGUGUCUUGUCUUCACUUCUGAACUGCUGCAAGUGACGAGGUUAUGGCUUCGCUGGGACAAUGCCUCGGUCUGUCUCUGGGCUGUGUGGACGGAACUGCACGUUCUGGAUCCUCUGGAGAUGCGUGUUCGCUGACUUCUUGUCACGCCCACAGAUGACUGGUCUCGUAUGUUACCUUCUUGAUUUCUCUCUAUUUCACUCCAGGAUAAUCUUCCAACAAUGCUGUCACCCUUAGGAACUGAACUAAAUAUUUCAAUUCAAACUGAAAUCCACAUUUCUAUUUCCUUGACCUUUUGACCUCCAUCAUCUCUGUUACUUAUCUUCAGGUUGGAGGAGCUUUUGCAGGAAUGCAUUUUUUUUUUUAACCAAAAGAUGAUUGGAAUUACACAUGGAAUCUUCAAUUGUGCUUGUUCCGAAUAGCACUUAUCAAAUUCCCUUUUAAAACUGGAUAUUAUUGAGAACACUAAAACACACUCUCAACCUUCCAGAAAGUGAGGAAUUUUUUAAUCAGUUUGGAUGAAGCGUAUUUGAAGAGACAACUCACAGUAAAUACCUGUGCAUAAUUAACAUAAUUAACUGCAUAAUCAACAGCUCCUCCCGUGCAUGUCUGCAUCCCCAAGGAUCUCCUUCUCUGUGGUCUAUUUCUG
rnacentral:lncRNA from 1 species